rnacentral:rRNA from 2 species
AGACCCGAAACCCGGUGAUCUAGCCAUGGGCAGGUUGAAGGUUGGGUAACACUAACUGGAGGACCGAACCGACUAAUGUUGAAAAAUUAGCGGAUGACCUGUGGCUGGGGGUGAAAGGCCAAUCAAACCGGGAGAUAGCUGGUUCUCCCCGAAAGCUAUUUAGGUAGCGCCUCGUGAAUUCAUCUCCGGGGGUAGAGCACUGUUUCGGCUAGGGGGCCAUCCCGGCUUACCAACCCGAUGCAAACUGCGAAUACCGGAGAAUGUUAUCACGGGAGACACACGGCGGGUGCUAACGUCCGUCGUGAAGAGGGAAACAACCCAGACCGCCAGCUAAGGUCCCAAAGUCAUGGUUAAGUGGGAAACGAUGUGGGAAGGCCCAGACAGCCAGGAUGUUGGCUUAGAAGCAGCCAUCAUUUAAAGAAAGCGUAAUAGCUCACUGGUCGAGUCGGCCUGCGCGGAAGAUGUAACGGGGCUAAACCAUGCACCGAAGCUGCGGCAGCGAACGUAUCACCCAAGACAACUUUACGGAGUUGACGAUUGACGGAGCGAAGCGACGUCAAAGCGUUCAUUAAAGUCGAGUUGGCUUAGGGAUACGUUCGUUGGGUAGGGGAGCGUUCUGUAAGCCUGUGAAGGUGUGUCGUGAGGCAUGCUGGAGGUAUCAGAAGUGCGAAUGCUGACAUAAGUAACGAUAAAGCGGGUGAAAAGCCCGCUCGCCGGAAGACCAAGGGUUCCUGUCCAACGUUAAUCGGGGCAGGGUGAGUCGACCCCUAAGGCGAGGCCGAAAGGCGUAGUCGAUGGGAAACGGGUUAAUAUUCCCGUACUUGGUGUUACUGCGAAGGGGGGACGGAGAAGGCUAUGUUGGCCGGGCGACGGUUGUCCCGGUUUAAGCGUGUAGGUGUGUGUUCCAGGUAAAUCCGGUUCACUUUAACACUGAGGCGUGAUGACGAGGCACUACGGUGCUGAAGCAACAAAU